rnacentral:rRNA from 1 species
GAUGAACGCUGGCGGCGUGCCUAAUACAUGCAAGUCGAGCGAACAGACGAGGAGCUUGCUUCUCUGACGUUAGCGGCGGACGGGUGAGUAACACGUGGAUAACCUACCUAUAAGACUGGGAUAACUUCGGGAAACCGGAGCUAAUACCGGAUAAUAUAUUGAACCGCAUGGUUCAAUAGUGAAAGACGGUUUUGCUGUCACUUAUAGAUGGAUCCGCGCCGCAUUAGCUAGUUGGUAAGGUAACGGCUUACCAAGGCAACGAUGCGUAGCCGACCUGAGAGGGUGAUCGGCCACACUGGAACUGAGACACGGUCCAGACUCCUACGGGAGGCAGCAGUAGGGAAUCUUCCGCAAUGGGCGAAAGCCUGACGGAGCAACGCCGCGUGAGUGAUGAAGGUCUUCGGAUCGUAAAACUCUGUUAUUAGGGAAGAACAAAUGUGUAAGUAACUAUGCACGUCUUGACGGUACCUAAUCAGAAAGCCACGGCUAACUACGUG